rnacentral:snRNA from 1 species
AAUAUUAGCUAUACUAUUAUAAUAUUGGAACCAUACAGAGAAGAUUAGCAUGGCCCCUGUGCAAGGAUGACACACAAAUUUGUGAAGUGUCCCAUAAUUUC